AGCGAACGCUGGCGGCAGGCCUAACACAUGCAAGUCGUACGGACCCUUCGGGGUUAGUGGCGGACGGGUGAGUAACACGUGGGAACGUGCCUUUAGGUUCGGAAUAGCUCCUGGAAACGGGUGGUAAUGCCGAAUGUGCCCUUCGGGGGAAAGAUUUAUCGCCUUUAGAGCGGCCCGCGUCUGAUUAGCUAGUUGGUGAGGUAACGGCUCACCAAGGCGACGAUCAGUAGCUGGUCUGAGAGGAUGACCAGCCACACUGGGACUGAGACACGGCCCAGACUCCUACGGGAGGCAGCAGUGGGGAAUCUUGCGCAAUGGGCGAAAGCCUGACGCAGCCAUGCCGCGUGAAUGAUGAAGGUCUUAGGAUUGUAAAAUUCUUUCACCGGGGACGAUAAUGACGGCACCCGGAGAAGAAGCCCCGGCUAACUUCGUGCCAGCCGCCGCGGUAA
rnacentral:rRNA from 1 species